AGAGAUGCACUGGGNUUAAAGCGUGCGCAGGCGGUUUUGUAAGACAGAGGUGAAAUCCCCGGGCUCAACCUGGGAACUGCCUUUGCGACUGCAAGGCUGGAGUGCGGCAGAGGGGGAUGGAAUUCCGCGUGUAGCAGUGAAAUGCGUAGAUAUGCGGAGGAACACCGAUGGCGAAGGCAAUCCCCUGGGCCUGCACUGACGCUCAUGCACGAAAGCGUGGGGAGCAAACA
rnacentral:rRNA from 1 species